rnacentral:lncRNA from 1 species
UCCGCGCGCCUGUUUACCCAAUUCUAACUCCAUAUUUUCUAAAUUGAGCGACUGUGCUGAGCCGUUCACUUCUUCAUCUCCAUCUGACAUCCGCAAGAACUUGCAACUCUGCUGCGGCAACAUGCUUCCAAAGGUAAAGCCCUAACUUCUAAUUCUUCAAAUAUUCUAUCAAAUUGAUGUGUGGUUGCUGUUAUGUAAUUGUGUAGACUAUUACAGUAUUCUGCUUCCUGAUUCAAGGUUACGGUAUUUUGCUUCCUGUUUGUGUUAAUAGUGAGAAAUGGGCUCAAAUGGAUGACAUUAAUGGAGCACUAAAGUUGGGCAGCAAGUUGAAAAAUAAAGAAAAAUCCUAUAUAACGAGUAUGGGCGAUUUUCUCUAUAUCCAACCCUCAGAACUGAAGUUCCCAUGUUAGUCAAUUAUUAUUUUUUUAUUGUAAUAUUUUUUUCUUCUAAUUUGGCUUUAAACUAUGUCGAAAUAGUUUUGUUAUGAUUCUUUUGAUGUGGGCUUUUGCUGGUUGAGGUUUUUUAUUAAUUGAAGAUGGCAAAUAUUUUUAUAUCUUUUUUCCCAGUAAGGAGACGUAAAAAUUUGUUUCCUCUAUGUUUAAUAUUUUUACUGUUGGGAUUGAUUAUUUUUGUGCUGGUUUUUGUGGCCUGUGAUGAUGAAGAUGAAUUGAGAAAGCAGAGUUCAUUUUCAGUGCAGUUCACUAAUAAGAGUAAUCAGUACCUUGCUUUCAAGGUAUUUUUCUUAUUUUAUUGCAGAUUAUAGUCAACAGAUUGAAAGCUCUGUUAAGCAUGUGGUGAUACUUAUAUCAUCGUUUUGAUUAAUGGAUUUUUAAUGGAAAAGGUCAAAACAACCAGCCCAGAGAGGUACUGUGUUCGACCAAAUGUCGGUAUCUAUUUAUAAUGCAAGCACACAAAGAGGCGCUCGCUGAUAUGCAGGGCAAGGACAAGUUUCUAAUCCAGAGUGUUGUUGCUCCCAGUGGCACAACAAAGAAAGAUAUAGAACAUCUUCAUUACUUGAGGCUGUAAGUUCUUAGUGCAUUCCUUCCCCAUCUACUCAACCUUGGGAACAAAUGUUUCACUGUCUACGAAUUUAUUAGGUAAUGAGAUUGUUAGACAAAUCCAAUUAGGGAUGUCAACGAGCCAAGCCGAG